rnacentral:lncRNA from 1 species
CUCAGGACAGUUUGUAGAUAGUCGAGUAGGACGAGAACUAAGCUCGAAACUGCAUUAUAGAAAGUAAGAGUUCACAGUCUUACAUCCUCUUGGUCAAUUGGAGCCCACGUGUCAUUGCAGAUCAAAACUUAUAUUUUGGUUAUCUGUAUUUCUAUUCAUACAAUUUUUACUUUACUUUCAUGUGCGAAAAAUUAUUUACGAAUAUUUCUAUAAAAAUUUAUUUUAUGAGAAAAUAGAAUAUUUUAUUGAUUAUUUUUGAAUAGUACUAGUUGUUAACAAUUUGCUUUCAAAUGAACGUUUUAGAUAUUUAAUUUAUUUUUAAAUCAUUAAAUAUAUAUUUUCUACUCACCUACUACAUUUUUAACAAGUUUUGAGAUUUUUGAC